rnacentral:rRNA from 1 species
UACGUAGGUGGCAAGCGUUGUCCGGAUUUAUUGGGUUUAAAGGGUGCGUAGGCGGUCCUAUAAGUCAGUGCUGAAAUAUCCCGGCUUAACCGGGAGGGUGGCAUUGAUACUGUUGGACUUGAGUAAAGUUGAGGUUGGCGGAAUUGACGGUGUAGCGGUGAAAUGCUUAGAUAUCGUCAAGAACACCGAUUGCGAAGGCAGCCUUACCAAGCCGUUACUGACACUGAUGCACGAAAGCGUGGGGAUCAAACAGG